AUUGAACGCUGGCGGCAGGCCUAACACAUGCAAGUCGAACGAGUGGCGGACGGGUGAGUAAUGUCUGGGAAACUGCCUGAUGGAGGGGGAUAACUACUGGAAACGGUAGCUAAUACCGCAUAACACCGGAUGUGCCCAGAUGGGAUUAGCUAGUAGGUGGGGUAAAGGCGAACCUAGGCGACGAUCACUAGCUGGUCGGAGAGGAUGAACAGCCACACGGGAACUGAGACACGGUCCAGACUCCUCCGGGAGGCAGCAGUUGGGAAUAUGGCACAAUGGGCGCAAGCCUGAUGCAGCCAUGCCGCGUGUAUGAAGAAGGCCUUCGGGUUGUAAAGUACUUUCAGCGGGGAGGCGUUACCCGCAGAAGAAGCACCGGCUAACUCCGUGCCAGCAGCCGCGGUAAUAC
rnacentral:rRNA from 1 species